AGUGAACGCUGGCGGUAGGCCUAACACAUGCAAGUCGAACGGCAGCACAGUAAGAGCUUGCUCUUACGGGUGGCGAGUGGCGGACGGGUGAGGAAUACAUCGGAAUCUACUUUUUCGUGGGGGAUAACGUAGGGAAACUUACGCUAAUACCGCAUACGACCUACGGGUGAAAGCAGGGGAUCUUCGGACCUUGCGCGAUUGAAUGAGCCGAUGUCGGAUUAGCUAGUUGGCGGGGUAAAGGCCCACCAAGGCGACGAUCCGUAGCUGGUCUGAGAGGAUGAUCAGCCACACUGGAACUGAGACACGGUCCAGACUCCUACGGGAGGCAGCAGUGGGCAAUAUUGGACAAUGGGCGCAAGCCUGAUCCAGCCAUGCCGCGUGGGUGAAGAAGGCCUUCGGGUUGUAAAGCCCUUUUGUUGGGAAAGAAAAGCAGCAGGUUAAUACCCCGCUGUUCUGACGGUACCCAAAGAAUAAACACCGCUAACUUCGUG
rnacentral:rRNA from 1 species